rnacentral:rRNA from 1 species
UACGGAGGGGGCUAGCGUUGUUCGGAAUUACUGGGCGUAAAGCGCACGUAGGCGGCUUUGCAAGUUAGAGGUGAAAGCCCGGGGCUCAACUCCGGAAUUGCCUUUAAAACUGCAUCGCUAGAAUUGUGGAGAGGUAAGUGGAAUUCCGAGUGUAGAGGUGAAAUUCGUAGAUAUUCGGAAGAACACCAGUGGCGAAGGCGACUUGCUGGACAGAUAUUGACGCUGAGAUGCGAAAGCGUGGGGAGCAAACAGG